UUUGAGACAUCAAUUUCCUUGAGGAUAAAAAUGCAUGAGGUUGAGGAUAAAAUCUAUUGCCAAAUAACUUACCAGUGAUGAACACCUGUGCACUCAGAACAUUUUCCAGCCUAUCUUGGUCUCUGAUCUCCUUGUAUUUGAUGUGAGAAAACUGAGAGCUGAAUUAAAUAUUCAUACUUCUUAUGGCCGCUGAUGUGGAAAGCCCUGAUAUUUCCUGGAUUCUUAUAUUAUGAUGACGACUUCAUUAUCAAGAUGUAAUAAUGGACACAAAAUUGGAGAUAUGGGAGUUUCUGUUUGCUCAUUUUGGACUUGAACACUCGGAGAGGCGAUGUUCACUUCAAUUAUCCUGCUUAGAGUCCACUUCAUCAGAGCGCACAUCCUGGUUUGAGUACCGUUCUACUUUUUACAACAACUUGGACCUACCACACAGUCUUCCAAUGUUCCGACUCGUGACCACUCCACAUGUGCUACUGCUUCUAUGGUCACAGCUGACCACCACAUCUCUACCACCUCUAUGGAGAGGUGACCUCUCUACAUCUCUACUCCAUCUAUGCUGCUUCAGUCAACGUUGCCAGGUUGCUGCCGGGGUGAGUAGGCAACAUAAGACAACACACAUGUUAAAUUGUAGCAGCUUCUUCAUCAUAAAUUACUUCAUUUAAACUUCAAGAACGUCACUCUGCUUCGAUGUUUCCAUUUCUGUAUAGUGAGGUCCACGUUAUAAUGGCAGUGUUUAAUUAUCAAUUGUAAUGCUAUCCUUGUCUAUCAUUCAACAAGGCGGAUAGCGCUAUCUCUUUCUCGCUUUGCACUGU